GGAAAGGUGAAAAGAACCCCGAACAGGGGAGUGAAAUAGAACCUGAAACCAUACGCUUACAACCGGUCGGAGCAGCUUCGUGCUGUGACGGCGUGCCUAUUGAAUAAUGAGCCUACGAGUUACUAAUCACUAGCGAGGUUAAGUGCAAGGAUGCACGGAGCCGAAGCGAAAGCGAGUCUGAACAGGGCGUUUAGUUAGUGGUUGUAGACGCGAAACCUUGCGAUCUACCCUUGAGCAGGUUGAAGGUUGGGUAAAACCAACUGGAGGACCGAACGAAUAAGCGUUGAAAAGCUUCUCGAUGACUUGAGGGUAGGGGUGAAAGGCUAAUCAAGCUGGGAAAUAGCUCGUACUCCCCGAAAUGCCUUUUGGGGCAGCGUUGUAAUAAAGAGUCUACUGGAGGUAGAGCUACUGAUUGGAUGCGGGGGCUUCACCGCCUACCAAAUCCUGACAAACUCCGAAUGCCAGUAGUAUGAUUUACAGCAGUGAGUGACUGGGUGCUAAUGUCCAGUCGCAAAAGAGGAACAACUCAGACCAGCAACUAAGGUCCCGAAGAAUAUGCUAAGUUGAUCUAACGAUGUUUUGUUGCAGAGACAGCUAGGAUGUUAGCUUGGAAGCAGCUAUUCAUUCAAAGAGUGCGUAACAGCUCACUAGUCGAGCGACAGAGCGUGGAUAAUAAACGGGCAUCAAGCAUAUCACCGAAGUUCUGGGCGCGAGAGCGCGGUAGGGGAGCAUUCCAUUCAGCGUCGAAGCAGUUUCGUGAGGAAUUGUGGAGCGUAUGGAAAAGCAAAUGUAGGCAUGAGUAACGAUAAUGCGGGAGAGUAACCCGCACACCGCAAGACCAAGGUUUCCUGAUCAACGCUAAUCGGAUCAGGGUUAGUCGGGUCCUAAGGGUAAGCCGAACGGCGAUCUCGAUGGAUAAUCGGUUAAUAUUCCGAUACUAACAUAUACCUCGAUGGAGAGACGAAGGAACGUAAGUGCCGCCACCUGACGGAAUAGGUGGUUAAAGGGCGUAGGUAUAGGGGCAGAUUAAGAGUUAGUCCUUGCUGAAACCUGACAGUACAGAGAGCCUACGGGCAAUUUGAUAGAGCACCCAAGUCGACUUCCGAGAAAAUCUUCUAAGUUAUAGUAUAUGUUACCCGUACCGUAAACCGACACAGGUGGUCGAGGAGAGUAUCCUAAGGUGCUCGAGUGAAUCACGGUUAAGGAACUAGGCAAAUUAACCCCGUAACUUCGGGAAAAGGGGUCCCUAUGAAAGUAGGGCGCAGCGAAGAGGUCCAGGCGACUGUUUAUCAAAAACACAGGGCUCUGCAAAUUCGAAAGAAGACGUAUAGGGCCUGACACCUGCCCGGUGCUGGAAGGUUAAGAGGGGAUGUCAUCGCAAGAGAAGCAUUGAAUCGAAGCCCCAGUAAACGGCGGCCGUAACUAUAACGGUCCUAAGGUAGCGAAAUUCCUUGUCGGGUAAGUUCCGACCUGCACGAAUGGUGUAACGAUCUGGACACUGUCUCAACCGUGAGCUCGGUGAAAUUGUAGUCCCGGUGAUGAUGCCGGGUACCCGCAACGGGACGAAAAGACCCCGUGAACCUUUACUAUAGCUUAACGCUGAAUUUGGGUACACAAUGUGUAGGAUAGGCCGGAGGCUUUGAAGCGGGCACGCCAGUGUUCGUGGAGCCGACGUUGAAAUACGGCCCUUUGUGUAUUUGAGUUCUAACCCUGCGAAGGGGACACCGUUUGGUGGGUAGUUUGACUGGGGUGGUCGCCUCCAAAAGCGUAACGGAGGCUUCCCAAGGUACCCUCAGCACGAAUGGUAACCGUGCGCAGAGUGCAAUAGCAUAAGGGUGCUUGACUGUGAGACAUACAAGUCGACCAGGUACGAAAGUAGGGUAUAGUGAUCCGGUGGUUCUGCGUGGACUGGCCAUCGCUCAAAGGAUAAAAGGUACUCCGGGGAUAACAGGCUGAUCGCCGCCAAGAGCUCAUAUCGACGCGGCGGUUUGGCACCUCGAUGUCGGCUCGUCACAUCCUGGGGCUGGAGAAGGUCCCAAGGGUUCGGCUGUUCGCCGAUUAAAGUGGCACGCGAGCUGGGUUCAGAACGUCGUGAGACAGUUCGGUCUCUAUCUAUCGUGGGCG
rnacentral:rRNA from 1 species